CAAAAUGUAAAGAUAAUCUCUCACCUUCUCAAUCACCUUCUCACGCACCUUCAUCACUCUCUCUUCCUUUCACUUCAUCACAAGUGUGGCAAAUUUAUCCAUUCACUUUCUUUGCCAUAAAUAACUUUAUCACUUUCACUUCAUCAUUUUCACCAUAGCAAAAGCUUCUCAUUCUUCAAGAAAUCACUUUCCACAAACACUUCAAC
rnacentral:lncRNA from 1 species